rnacentral:tRNA from 1 species
UGUCUUAUAUUCAAAUUAAAUGAUUUUAAAUUGCAAGUUUAAAGGUGUAAAGUGCUAAGGCUU